UCUCAAGGAGUAGAUUAUUUUUAAGAAGUUUCUGGUACAGUUCCUCUGAGGUCCUGUGACUACCCCUCCCCCAGGAAAUAACUUUUUUAUUUAACCACUACAUUGACAUCUACAGAAGUUGACACCUGUAAGUUUUAGACAUAAAAUUGAUUCAACUUACAGUGCAACAAUUUAAAUGUAUGCAUCACUGCUAUAUUGAAAAUAUAAUAUGUCGUUAGACUUAAGACUUUCCUUUGUUUUGUCAAGUUUUUUUUUCUCAUGGUGGGUUAGUUUGCUUUGGGAACCCCAGACCUAAACCUCAGCCAUGCUUCUGGCAGCACACCCAGCACUGUCUCUCCAGGUGCUAGGAAGGCACUAAGACACACCCACCCAGUCCAGGUGGGCUAACUCACCAACUGACCCAUCAUAGCAACUUGGCUUGCCCAGCAGCAUAGCCCAUCCGGAUGACUCUACCUACUGCUCUAUAAUCACUGUGUGGUGAGAAAAAAAAAGAAACUCUGCCUUGAAACCUCCUGUUCCCCCAACUAGUUCUCAGGAGAAUGUUUGUGCUUUACUCUCUCUCUCUCUCACUCUCUCUCUCUUUCUCUCUCUCUCUGUGCCU
rnacentral:lncRNA from 1 species